AGACCGAUUGCUCAGUCGGUAGAGUAUCUGUCUGGAAUAGAAAGAUCCUAGGAUCGACUGCUAGCCAGUCUA